AUCUCAAUUCUCAUGAUUGAUCAUACCGGUAAGUUAGUAAUUCAUAAAAUAGGAACGGGAAUAUGCGAAGGCACAGGAAGCAACAAGACUCGUACAAGUAAAUUACUUGCAUAAUAGCGGGACAGGGACAAGUAAAGAACAAAGAAAAGGGAAGCUUGGCUGAUAGGAAAGUUCAGCUGCAGCCCAUGGAGAAGAUGGACAAAUUUCAACCAACUACCCGACUCUCCGACAUCCCAUAACAUGGCAUGGCAACUAUCCAGUUGUUCUACUUGACUAAAAGAAAAAGUGAGUAUCCCAGUUUUGCCAGACUAAUUUCCUUGUGUCUGCACUCCACCCAAAGAUACACAAGUGGUGAAGAGGUGACUCGAAUACAUAAUCUCGAAUAUUAGACUACCUCGAAACCAUCCGAUCCAACCCAAGGGGCGCUUGCUUCUUAACUAUUGCUGAUAGUUAAGGGCGCUUGUUCGUGGAUUUACUUUCUUUAUGGGAAUUGGAUUGUGAGUAGAAAGAGGGCCGGUCCUGUCCUGUCCUGUGGUAGGACUGGCAAAGGGCAAUGAAGUGCUUUGGGAUGCGUCCGAAGACAAUAAUUGCAGAAGGCAGAAAAGCAAAGCUGAUGUUUAUGGUUAUGCAAAUGCAAACAGGUGGAGGAGGAAAGCGAGGACCAUCAUUGGUUAUGAAAAGGGUUUUUGUCAAUCAAUCUAUUACUACAAAUCCUUUUCCUCCCA